AGGGAAUCUUCCACAAUGGACGAAAGUCUGAUGGAGCAACGCCGCGUGAGUGAUGAAGGUUUUCGGAUCGUAAAACUCUGUUGUAAGGGAAGAACCAGUACGUCAGGCAAUGGACGUACCUUGACGGUACCUUAUUAGAAAGCCACGGCUAACUACGUGCCAGCAGCCGCGGUAAUACGUAGGUGGCAAGCGUUGUCCGGAAUUAUUGGGCGUAAAGCGCGCGCAGGUGGUUUCUUAAGUCUGAUGUGAAAGCCCACGGCUUAACCCCGUGAUGGGACAGAAACUAUAUUUCUUGAGUGCAGGAGAGGACAGUGGAAUUCCCAGUGUAGCGGUGAAAUGCGUAGAUAUUGGGAGGAACACCAGUGGCGAAGGCGACUGUCUGGACUGUGUCUGACGCUGAGGCGCGAAAGCCAGGGUAGUGAACG
rnacentral:rRNA from 1 species